rnacentral:tRNA from 1 species
GCCCCGAUGGCUCAGUGGUAAAGCGUAUCACUAGUAGUCGCUAGUAAAAUGAUAAGAUCGUCAGUUCGAUUCUGGCUCGGGGCA